CACGUAGGGACCAAGCGUUGUCCGGAUUUAUUGGGCGUAAAGAGCUCGUAGGCGGCUUGGUAAGUCGGGUGUGAAACCUCCAGGCUCAACCUGGUGACGCCACCCGAUACUGCUAUAGCUUGAGUUCGGUAGGGGAGCGGGGAAUUCCUGGUGUAGCGGUGAAAUGCGCAGAUAUCAGGAGGAACACCGGUGGCGAAGGCGGGUCUCUGGACAGUUCCUGACACUGAGACACGAAGGCCAGGGGAGCAAACGGG
rnacentral:rRNA from 1 species